ensembl:lncRNA
GCCCCAAGCACAAGGAUUCUGUCACUGCCCCUAUGGACAGAUGGGCACCCUCCGAGUGCAUUCAGACAGAAGAAGUACACAAACUUCAUUCUGAUGCAGAAGGAUUUCAUGCUUUUAUUGAUAAGUGUCACCUCUGCUGUGCUUUCCCCCUUGUUCUUGCAGAGAAAGGGGUGGAUCGCCUCUCACUUUCUGACAUUCUGUCCUAUGUACAAACUUCAGAGCUGUGUAUUCCAGAGGCCUUCAAAACACAAACAAGGAAUUACACAUUCCCCAUGGGAAUGUGGCAGGAGGGGAACUGCAGCCAGAGCACCGCCACUGUGACAUCUGAGCUGGCAUUCCCCCUCCAAAGCCAUGCCUUCUGCAGACAAAAAAAUGCACGCUCAACCUGCAGGCCUCUGCAAGAGCACAACUCACCUUCACUCUCCUCAUUUCAUCCACGUUGACAUCUGCAAGGAGAUCCUGAAUGAGUGCCCAGCCGUCAGCAGGGGAGACACCUUCCCCAGCCACCAGCACAACUGCACCCAUGGGCAUCCUCUGCCAAAAUCAUCACCCUUAACAGCUUCCUACAGCGACUCCUGAGGUCUGCCUUGCAGCCCCAAGAAAAUGCCCUGUGUUGUAGGGAGGCGGGUUUUGCUUCUGCACGAUAUUGGGUGGAGGCUGCUCUGUUGCUGAGAAUUGUCCUCACCCAAAAAAAUGCUCUGAACAGUCACAUUUCCUCUGAAACACUGUCCGCUCAGUGUAGAGUUUGAAAGUGAAACUGUGGUAAAUUCCC